rnacentral:rRNA from 1 species
CACGUAGGGUGCGAGCGUUGUCCGGAAUUAUUGGGCGUAAAGAGCUCGUAGGCGGUGUGUCGCGUCGGCCGUGAAAACCUGCAGCUUAACUGUGGGCUUGCGGUCGAUACGGGCAUCACUGGAGUUCGGCAGGGGAGACUGGAAUUCCUGGUGUAGCGGUGAAAUGCGCAGAUAUCAGGAGGAACACCAGUGGCGAAGGCGGCUCACUGGACCGGUUCUGACGCUGAGGCGCGAAAGCGUGGGGGAGCGAACAGG